GUUUUCGGCUUUUUUGUGGGUCAAAUUGUCCAUUCUCUGCCCGAUCGGACCGAUGGUAAAGUUCUUGGCGCUCCUCGCUUGUCAGAUAAACUUCACUUGCGCUAGAGCACUCAAACACUUCCAGAGUCGUCAUUUUAUGAAUCGUGUUGUUGUGUAUCUUUCGCGAUGAUGUGCUUGCGUAUCAGAUGUUUCUGUAAGAGAGAACAUUUUUGUAGGUCUUCGCACAAGAUCUAUACCACACAGGACAUGAAAGUUGGACUCGUUAGACCACUUGCACAUUACAUGACAUGUAUCAAAUUUUCUUGAUCGUGAUUGGUGGAUCUUACAUCGGCAAUGCCAGGAAUGUUUUUGGACUAUGACCUGGUAUAGAGUAUCACUAUUUCCUGCAACAGUGUCCUGAAGCUUGGAGAUGGAAAGUGCUUGUCUCGGGGUUUUGAAGUUAAAAACCAGCCUAAAACCYAUUGAAUUCUUAUUUCAAAAGUAACUUUUGUGAUAAUGGAUGACUUACUUUCAAAGGAUUCAAUAUAUUGUGCAGGUUAUGGGUGCUGAAUUGUAUGAUGCUUUGGUUUCUGCCGGAGUAAAGCACGAGGCUCGCACCUCACCAAGCUUGUUGACGAUGAGGUAAAUUCGAAACGAAACUGUCUUCCAAGAUUUGUAUUCCUUCAAGAAAUACUGAUAUAUACGGUAGAAAAAUAUAUACCACACAGCUGGAACAUUGAAAAAAGGGACCGAUGGUUAAAGAAUGAAAAGAUUUAACAGGAUUGUUAAUGAGCAUGUUUGUCGAUGGCGCUCGAUGGCGCCAAACAUGCUCAUUAACGAUAUAGACAGAAAUUUGAAUUCRAAUUUUUKUUGAAACUUGUAUUGGCGGUUGUAAUGACCUUCGAUCCCGGCAUUAACUCAAAGUAUCACACCACACAGAUGGGUUUGAGUUGRUAGCUAUACAACAGUGAAAUAAUUUUGGUUUUGCACAAAUCUGUGAAGACAUAAAACGAUUUUUAUCUGAGCACGUAUUAUUAAAUACAAGCUUCAAAACAAACUCGAAAUCAGAUUCUAAAUAAUUAACUGAAUCUUCUAGCCUUGAUAGGAACGUUAGCUGGUUUGACUGUAACUGAAAAAUGAAGAAGUAUGAGUAGAGAUUAUGUCAUGCAGUGAACGCAGGCGACAUAAAAUGUUGUUAUUAAAUAUACUUAUCAAUUCGGCAUUUAUAUGUAAUAAAUAUUUUUUAAACCAAA